rnacentral:rRNA from 1 species
GCAGUCGAGGGGUAUAGGUUUUCGGACCUAGAGACCGGCGCACGGGUGCGUAACGCGUAUGCAAUCUACCUUUUACAGAGGGAUAGCCCAGAGAAAUUUGGAUUAAUACCUCAUAGUAUGCAGAGUUGGCAUCAACACUGCAUUAAAGUCACAACGGUAAAAGAUGAGCAUGCGUCCCAUUAGCUAGUUGGUAAGGUAACGGCUUACCAAGGCAACGAUGGGUAGGGGUCCUGAGAGGGAGAUCCCCCACACUGGUACUGAGACACGGACCAGACUCCUACGGGAGGCAGCAGUGAGGAAUAUUGGUCAAUGGGCGCAAGCCUGAACCAGCCAUGCCGCGUGCAGGAUGAAGCAUCUAUGGUGUGUAAACUGCUUUUGUACGAGAAGAAACACUCCUACGUGUAGGAGCUUGACGGUAUCGUAAGAAUAAGGACCGGCUAACUCCGUGCCAGCAGCCGCGGUAAUACGGAGGGUCCAAGCGUUAUCCGGAAUCAUUGGGUUUAAAGGGUCCGUAGGCGGUUUUGUAAGUCAGUGGUGAAAGCCCAUCGCUCAACGGUGGAACGGCCAUUGAUACUGCAAGACUUGAAUUAUUGGGAAGUAACUAGAAUAUGUAGUGUAGCGGUGAAAUGCUUAGAGAUUACAUGGAAUACCAAUUGCGAAGGCAGGUUACUACCAAUAUAUUGACGCUGAUGGACGAAAGCGUGGGGAGCGAACAGGAUUAGAUACCCUGGUAGUCCACGCCGUAAACGAUGGAUACUAGCUGUUCGGAGCAAUCUGAGUGGCUAAGCGAAAGUGAUAAGUAUCCCACCUGGGGAGUACGUUCGCAAGAAUGAAACUCAAAGGAAUUGACGGGGGCC